UGCUGCACAUUUUUGGUAUAAAACUAAGCCAACUAAAAGAUGGUGCAAAUUUAGACUAGACAGUCUAAAGAUGUGCAAAAUCACACUGACUAUUCUAUACUUCACGCUGUCUAAGAAGGAAAGAGUUUUUGCUUAUCUCUCCUAGUGAAGUUUUGAGAGGACUAGAAGAUGUCAGUCACCUCUUGGAUUGUUCCUAACACCAGCAUUGUGGAUCAAAAGCCUGAAGGAGCGUAACAUUAGAUUACAUAAGUCCAGUGCACUCUGUGCCCGCUCAAUUUUGGUGCAGUAAGCAAUAAUCCAGCCAUUUCCUGACAUUCAUCACGGUAAAGAACUACA